GGGCGAAUAGCUCAGCUGGGAGAGCGCUUCCCUUACAAGGAAGAAGUCGCGGGUUCGAGUCCUGCUUCGCCCA
rnacentral:tRNA from 1 species